rnacentral:rRNA from 1 species
GAUGAACGCUGGCGGCGUGCCUAAUACAUGCAAGUAGAACGCUGAAGCUUGGUGCUUGCACCGAGCGGAUGAGUUGCGAACGGGUGAGUAACGCGUAGGUAACCUGCCUCUUAGCGGGGGAUAACUAUUGGAAACGAUAGCUAAUACCGCAUAAAAGUCGAUAUCGCAUGAUGUUGACUUGAAAGGUGCAAUUGCAUCACUAAGAGAUGGACCUGCGUUGUAUUAGCUAGUUGGUGAGGUAACGGCUCACCAAGGCGACGAUACAUAGCCGACCUGAGAGGGUGAUCGGCCACACUGGGACUGAGACACGGCCCAGACUCCUACGGGAGGCAGCAGUAGGGAAUCUUCGGCAAUGGGGGCAACCCUGACCGAGCAACGCCGCGUGAGUGAAGAAGGUUUUCGGAUCGUAAAGCUCUGUUGUAAGAGAAGAACGAGUGUGAGAGUGGAAAGUUCACACUGUGACGGUAACUUACCAGAAAGGGACGGCUAACUACGUGCCAGCAGCCGCGGUAAUACGUAGGUCCCGAGCGUUAUCCGGAUUUAUUGGGCGUAAAGCGAGCGCAGGCGGUUAGAUAAGUCUGAAGUUAAAGGCUGUGGCUUAACCAUAGUACGCUUUGGAAACUGUUUAACUUGAGUGCAGAAGGGGAGAGUGGAAUUCCAUGUGUAGCGGUGAAAUGCGUAGAUAUAUGGAGGAACACCGGUGGCGAAAGCGGCUCUCUGGUCUGUAACUGACGCUGAGGCUCGAAAGCGUGGGGAGCAAACAGG